UGGUUUCCAGGUGAAAUGGAGGUGGAUUUUACAAGUUCCCUUUUCUAAACACAGGAGCUGGUCUGAGAUUGAAGGUGAGAAAAUGAGAAAGGACAGCUGCCCCCUGUGAAAAGCUGACCUAGAGGUGACUGCUGCAGGAUGGCUUGUAAUGGGAGCUUAUGUGUGUGUUGCCUUAUAAUGAAGUGUUAUGAUACCCACGGCUGCUGGGCUCUGGUGGUUUUUGUCUGGAUGAUUGCUGAGCAGUCCUAGAGGAGAAAACACGGGGAGGUGCACCUUCAAUCAAUAUUUCUGAAGGAAAAGCAGUCCUGGAGUCAAAACGUUUGGAGCGAAUGUUUUCACUUCAGCUCCUCAAAUUUUCAUCACGUGGUUCUCAAAGGUUACCCUGUCCUGCACAGUGAUUAGCAGCUCCUCUUGUAAUUGCCUCGUGUGAAGACUGUUUUAAAUGUUCCUGUGCUG
rnacentral:lncRNA from 1 species